AUGCCAAGGUGAUGGCAUUUCCUUAACAACUUUUUAAACCUCUCCCAUGCAUCAGGAAUAACUUCAUCGUUCAUUUGUUUAAAAAGACAUUUCAUUUCUGGACUU